GUUAUUUUGACUGAUGAUUUCAGAGAUUUUAGCCCAUAGUCACUUGGACCCUUUACUUCUAGGUCUGUGAUGAGGCAGAAACAUCAUGGCAGAAGGCUGGAGUGAGGAAAUCUCACCUUGUGGCAACUAGAAAGCAAAGAAAGAAGGAAAAGACUAAGGGAAAGGAGCCAGGAAUAAGAUACAGCCCCCAAGGCUAUGCCCUAUUACCCACUCCCUUCAGAGAGGAGAAAUACAAUGGAGAAGAGUAAGACAAAACUAGACAGUAAAGAAAUGCAAAGGGACUCACCUGGCAAGAGUCCUUUCCACCCUCCAGGAAGCCUAGGCAGUGCAUGUUGUUAGUGAUCUUAUUGGGGUAAGCACUGUGGCAAGACUGUCAGAGAGGACAGGGGCAUCCCAAAACUGAAGAAGUGAAGGAUGAGUUUCUGUCAAGUGCAAAAGUGAAAACGCAAGGUUACCCACACAGUUAUGGAACUUUCUUUCUCACUCUAUAUCUUCUCUUUCACAAUAUUCACACUAUUUCUUUCAAUUUGACAAUAAAUUCUAGUUUUGGAUAUAUAUUUUUUCCCAGUAAGUUUUCAAACACUUCCUAUUAACAAGUUGUUCUUUCUCUGGCACUGGCAUCAGUGGCCACAGAUCUCAAGUCCAGAGACCUUAUUUGACCUCAAGCAAAUAUACACUUCAGACUCCUCAGUUUCUAGUUUUCUGCACAUCACUAGUCAUACUAGUCAUCCAGCUCCAUACAUUGACUUCUCCUUAACAGUUAAUUUUUGUUGUAUUUUCUGCAUGUCUCAGCAAAGACAUGUCCCUCACUUCAUUUAAUAUAAUCAAAGGCUGAACAUAUCCAAAGCCUGACUCUGAGCACCUUGACUUGAGUGAGACUUUAGACCAACUGAGCCUUAAACUGCCUUUCACCUCUAGUGUUUUCAGAUUUAGUCCUUGUAUUGCAGGUGACACUUACCACCAUAGCUCAAGGUGUUGCCCCAGCCAGACAUAAGGCACUAAGUACCAGCAGAUGGACAGGAUUUUGGCAGAGAAACAGUGGCCACUCAAGAGUUGAGUUUGGCAGCUGUCUGAAGUUUAAUCCACAUGAUGUCAUUAUCAUAGGUGUUGUUGUUAUAACUUUGGUGACAAAUGAUCUUGGCUGCAUUGAUAAACUGUUCAUCUCCCUCAAGGACAUCAGUGUUGUGUUCGCCCAGACAAACCUGGAUUGUGCUGGGUUAAAGGAUUAAAACUUUCUUAAGUGUCUAACUUGAGCUUCUUCCCAUUCCCCUAACAGUCAGUUAUUAGCAUAGUUACACACACCAUCCUCUUCAAGCACUGAGUCAUACAGGUAAUUGUGCACUUAAUGAAGCACUGUGCACUUCCACACAUGGUGCAGGUUAGAAAAUUACUUAGGUAAAUACAACUGUCAAUACAGACUCACAGCCCAUCCUCUUGUUGGAAUGGUAAGGUGUACACCUGGGAACCAAAUAACCUCUAUUGAACAGUUGGAGAUGGAAAGAGGGUUGGAGCUUGAUCAGUGUCAUUUCUCUGGUUGGGCUCAUGAAGUAUCAUAGGGAGAAGAGGCAAAGUCAAAGAUAAAGCAGAAUAUAAUGGAGCAGAAUGAGUUAUGCUUAUUUUUCAUGUCUUCCUGGAAAUACAAUAGGGUUUAUUACAUCCAUAUAACAUAUUUUUCCUGGAUAGGCUAUAAUAUUUAAGACUGUAUGAUUCAUGCAUUUUACUAUUUUGGAAGAUUCUCCAUCAGCCAUAUUUCCCUUCUACAUCUUUAGUUCUGUCAUUUAAGAAGACAUCAAGGGAUUUGGGGGAUAUAGCUCCAUUGUAUCUCCCUCAAUGCAUGAUGGAAUUCUGAGGGGACAAUAAGGCUUUCCACAUCUGAAUGUUUUAUGUAUCUACAGUUUACCCUGGCUGUGCUUUGAUGGGGCUAGAGAAGAAUUUGACUGUAGAGCACAGGGAUGUAACUGUUGAUUACAUAUGAUUCAUAGCAGUGAGCUACAGACAGCAAAAUGAAUCUCUUCAAGGUAAUCCUAGAUGACAGCUUUCAGGCUGAAGAAAUUAGCGAAUUGAAAUUCAGGCACAGCUAUUAUCAGGCUUCCUGCAGGAGGC
ensembl:lncRNA